CCCACACUUGGCAACAUCCCCACUCGCCAUCGUUUUUGUGGAUUGCACACGAUGUGUGUGAGCACGCCACGUUCUGGUUUCGCUUUAUUCGCAACUCUCCACACAAGCAAGCUUUCAAUCCUGGUUCAGUUUCUGUAACCAAGCCAGCGUCUCGCAACUCACUAUUAUAAUAUCCUCAUACUUUUGAGUCUGAGUUGUUGUUGUUUUUAUUGUAGUAGGAGUUUGCUGUAGCUUGUUUGAUAUACGGUUUCAUCUUCUUGUUCUAGUUUUGGGUUCAAAUCCAAAUUUCUGGAGCCUCAUUUUGUGUUGAUCUAGAGCUACGAGUGAACUGGUUUUUCUUGAUUUUUCACAUUUUUGAUCGUUGUUGUCGUUGGCUAUGGCGAUGGUUAUGCUUUCUUCUGGUUUGACAGGAUCGAGUGCUCUAGCUUCUGGUAAAAAUUUCAAUGUCAGAGUGCGCAGUUGUAGCUCCGGGCGGGGUGUAGCUCUCGCAGGACCAGCUCGUGCCAUUUCGACGCACCGGAAGCUCGUAAUGUCCGGAGCGAGCACACAGUUCUUCACGGGUCAUGGAUUUGUUAGUCUUGUGAGUUGUUGUCGUGGUGGUGGUGGUGGUGUUGUUAGUCGGAGAGGAGCUGCUGCGAGGCGAGGGGUUGUGACCCCACGCGCGGUGAGCGCACCUGCGACCGAGGGAAUGAAGAGCUUGUACAUAGCGGUGGGAAUUCCACUCGUGCUCGGCUUCGUGGACGCCAUCUUCAACAGCCCGUUGUCCAAGUGGUACUUCGACCUGAAGAAGCCGAAAUGGCAGCCCCCGGGCCCCAUCUUCGGCGGUGCAUGGAGUCUGCUGUAUCCCCUCAUGGGGCUCGCGUCAUGGCUUGUGUGGGCCGAAGGAGGCUUCGCCAAGCAAGCCGUCCCGCUCACGCUCUACGCCAUCCAGCUGGUGCUCAACCUCGCAUGGCAAGCGCUCUUCUUCGGUGCUAAGCGCCUCGGCGCCGCGUUCUACGACAUCCUGGCUCUGGACGUGGCGAUCGUGGCUACCAUCGUCGCCUUCAAACCCGUCAACGAAGUCGCGGCCAAUCUGCUGAAGCCCUAUCUCGCAUGGGUGCUCUUCGCGACGGCCUUGAGCUGGCGCCUCUGGGACCUUAACCGCGACCUCACGGUGGACUCCAGCGCUCCUCCCGCAGCGUCCAGCGCGAGCUAAACCCCCUCCCCCAUUAUUAUCACUGUUUCCAUGUCCACGACUUCGUUGCGAGCUGCCGUGAGUAUGCAUUUCUCUCUGCCUCGGCGCGGGGCGGAGACUCCGAUGCUCCGCGAGUGUGAGUGUGAGUGAGCGAGUGAGUGAGUGUACAGAUUUGUAGCACCAAAGCAGAAGAAGCAGAAGCAGAAGAAGAAGCCUCGGCGUGCCAAUUGUACAUACCUCGGCGCGGCGAAUGAAUGAAUGAAUGAAUAUGCUUCAGUCUCUCUCUCCGCAGGGCUCACCAUGGCUCCUCUUGUACUCCCAUUUUGGACUUCAUAUUAUUAACGUCUCUUCCGAAACAAAACAAAACAAAA